rnacentral:rRNA from 1 species
CCUACGGGAGGCAGCAGUAGGGAAUAUUGCUCAAUGGGGGAAACCCUGAAGCAGCAACGCCGCGUGGAGGAUGAAGGUUUUAGGAUUGUAAACUCCUUUUGUUAGAGAAGAUUAUGACGGUAUCUAACGAAUAAGCACCGGCUAACUCCGUGCCAGCAGCCGCGGUAAUACGGAGGGUGCAAGCGUUACUCGGAAUCACUGGGCGUAAAGAGCGCGUAGGCGGGAUAGCAAGUCAGAUGUGAAAUCCUAGGGCUUAACCAUAGAACUGCAUUUGAAACUGUUAUUCUAGAGUAUGGGAGAGGUAGGUGGAAUUCUUGGUGUAGGGGUAAAAUCCGUAGAGAUCAAGAGGAAUACUCAUUGCGAAGGCGACCUGCUAGAACAUAACUGACGCUGAUGCGCGAAAGCGUGGGGAGCAAACAGGAUUAGAUACCCCUGUAGUC